ACUGCUUGUUAGGGCUAUAAAGAAUUGAUUUUUAGGAGAUGGAAGAGGCUUUACAUUUGUCAGCAUGCUGCUGAUCCUCCUAAAGUGUGAGCAAUGAUUGGGAUUGGCACCCACUAGAGGCAGGGUUUGUCCUUGUUCCCCAUGGAGAUUGCAGGAUUAGCAGCUGCACUGUUUUUGCUUGCUGGUUGCUGCAAGUUGAUCUGCAGUUCUGCACUGUCCUUUAUGCCUUCAGUAGUGUUUUC
rnacentral:lncRNA from 1 species